rnacentral:misc_RNA from 1 species
AUCCCUGCCUGCAUCUCAUACACCGGCCGCAAAAAAAAAGCAAUUUCACCACAUUAAUUAGCUUGCUGCACCAUCCAAAACCAUCGCCACCAUUCACCAUAACGCAACGCAAGCUUAACAUAAAUGAGGUCACAAAUGAACAUAAUGCUGCUGCAAAUCAGUACUGUACUACCACUCAUAUUCAUAUACGACAUGGACAGAAGAGGGAGGAACAUCCAAUUGGGGUGGAUGGGGAUGCCUUCCCUGCUAGCAUCACCAUCAGCAUCAGGAUCAAAUCAAUCGCUAUUAGCCUAUUACUACGAGUCUCCAUGGUCUCUCCUGGCCUUCUUCGGCGGCAAGACGCAGGCGGCGGCGGCGGCAGUGUCGCGGAACUGGCGCAACGCGUCCUUGAGCAUCCUGGCGUGGCGGGCGUCCGCCUCCUGCCACCCGCGCUCGAUCUCCCACUGCACCUCCAUGCGCCGCCGCUCCAGCCGCAUGACACCCUCGCCGAAAUCCCUCACCACAACCGAGAGCUGCGCGACAGCCCACCCAGAGCCGCCGCGGCGGGUCAUCUCCACGGCCACGGCCUCGUCCUUGGCCUGGAAUGCCUCGUAGGCCACCCUCUUGCGGGGGGGAGCGGUGGACGGCGUGAUGGAAGAAGGCGGCGGGUGGAGCUGCAGCUGCGGGUGGCGCGGGGCGAGGCCGGUGCCGAAUUCCCGGAUGAUGCCGUUGAUGCUCCGGGUGUUGUUGCGGGGGACGAGCUCUUCCACUUCUUCCUCCUCCUGCACGUCUUCCUCGUCCUCCUCUUCGUCGCCGUCGGCGGCAGGCGGCGAGCUAGCCGCGGCCGGGUAGGCUGCGAGGGCCCCCCGUUCGAGGCGAUCCAUGCGGCGGAAGUAGGGCCAGAGCGAGGUGACGGGGCGGGCGCCCUCGGUGCGGUAGCGCUUGCGGAGCUUCUCGAGCUUGUGCCGGCACUGCGUGCCCGUCUUGCGCUGAGCGAUGACCCCCGGGUUGGCGGCGCAACGGGCGGCGACCUCGGUCGCCACCUCCUCCCACUGGUGCGCCUUGAGCUGGCCGCGGCGCAGCGCCGUCCAGCGCUCCUCGUACGCGUCGAUGAGGUGCAUGGUCUCCACGUGCGACCACGGCUGCGCCGGCGCGCUCUUCCUCGCUAGCGCCGGUGGCGGAGGCUCGUCGGCCAUCGUCUGGUCACGGGAGGCUCAGAUCUAGAUCUGGGGGCGGGCGGCGACUACGGGUGCGGGUGAGGACGAGUAGUUGGGGGGAGGGGGCGGCGGCGGCGGUGGAGGAUAAGGCGCGGCUGGGUAUGGGUGGUGGGCGGUUGGGUUUUUGUGGGUGGGGCGUGCCGCGGCGGGUGGUGGCGGCGGUGGGGU